AGGAAGGAGAAGUCGUAACAAGGUUUCCGUAGGUGAACCUGCGGAAGGAUCAUUGUCGAAACCUGCCCAGCAGAAGGACCCGCGAACAGGUUGAACAUUCGCCCGGGGGGACCGGGGGCGCGGACGCGUCCCGAAUCCCCCCGCGCCGGGUGCGCGGCGCUCGGGCCCGUGCCCUCGGCUUCCAAACGAACCCCGGCGCGGAUCGCGUCAAGGAAGAACAACGGAACGGGCCGUGCCGUUGGGGCCCCGGAAACGGUGUUUGCCCGGCGGUCGAUUCGUGAUCGGUUACACAAGUCAAAACGACUCUCGGCAACGGAUAUCUCGGCUCUCGCAUCGAUGAAGAACGUAGCGAAAUGCGAUACUUGGUGUGAAUUGCAGAAUCCCGCGAACCAUCGAGUCUUUGAACGCAAGUUGCGCCCGAAGCCAUCCGGCCGAGGGCACGUCUGCCUGGGCGUCACACGCGGUCGCCCCCUCCCCCGCCCAACCGAAACCCCAUGCCGCUCCUCGUGGGCGCGCGUGGAACCGAGCGGAUGGGGGGCGGACGAUGGCCUCCCGCGAGCGCCCUGCCUCGUGGUUGGCCCAAAUCGGAGUCCUCGGUCACGUCAUCGUGGCGACCGGUGGUUGUCGAUCGUUCGGUGCCCCGUCACGUGCGCUGUCCGGCYAUCGAGACUCCUGCGGACCCCAACGCGCCCGUCGCGGGCGCUCCCAACGCGACCCCAGGUCAGGCGGGGCCACCCGCUGAGUUUA
rnacentral:rRNA from 1 species